rnacentral:rRNA from 1 species
UACGGAGGGUGCAAGCGUUGUUCGGAAUCAUUGGGCGUAAAGCGCGUGUAGGCGGCUUGGCAAGUCAGUUGUGAAAGCCCGGGGCCCAACCCCGGAAUUGCAUCUGAAACUGCCUGGCUAGAGUCCCGGAGAGGAAGGCAGAAUUCCCGGUGUAGGGGUGAAAUCCGUAGAUAUCGGGAGGAAUACCAGCGGCGAAGGCGGCUCACUGGCCCGGUACUGACGCUGAGGUGCGAAAGCGUGGGGAGCAAACAGG